UACGUAGGUGGCAAGCGUUGUCCGGAUUUACUGGGCGUACAGGGAGCGUAGGCGGUUGGAUAAGCCCUUCGUGAAAUCUCCAGGCUUAACCUGGAAAGUGCAGAGGGGACUGUUCAGCUAGAGGAUGGGGAGAGGAGCGCGGAAUUCCCGGUGUAGCGGUGAAAUGCGUAGAUAUCUGGAGGAACACCGGUGGCGAAGGCGGCAUCCUGGACCGGCAUUGACGCUGAGGCGCGAAAGCCAGGGGAGCAAACGGGG
rnacentral:rRNA from 1 species